rnacentral:rRNA from 1 species
CCUACGGGUGGCUGCAGUGGGGAAUAUUGGACAAUGGGGGGAACCCUGAUCCAGCCAUGCCGCGUGUGUGAAGAAGGCCCUCGGGUUGUAAAGCACUUUCAGUGAGGAAGAACGCCUGGUGGUUAAUACCCAUCAGGAAAGACAUCACUCACAGAAGAAGCACCGGCUAACUCCGUGCCAGCAGCCGCGGUAAUACGGAGGGUGCGAGCGUUAAUCGGAAUUACUGGGCGUAAAGCGCGCGUAGGUGGCUUGAUAAGCCGGUUGUGAAAGCCCCGGGCUCAACCUGGGAACGGCAUCCGGAACUGUCAAGCUAGAGUGCAGGAGAGGAAGGGAGAAUUCCCGGUGUAGCGGUGAAAUGCGUAGAGAUCGGGAGGAAUACCAGGGGCGAAGGCGGCCUUCUGGACUGACACUGACACUGAGGUGCGAAAGCGUGGGUAGCAAACAGGAUUAGAUACCCCAGUAGU